AGAUCCAAAUACUUGUUAUCCUAUAAAUAUUGUAAAAAAAAUAAAUACACACUGUUCAUUGAAAAUGAAAUUUUUACUUUUUGUCAUGUGUCACAAUAUCUUCCAAGAAUGGUAAUUCGAUAAAAUGUAUCCAGUUUUUCUUUAGGCCUCCUUUUGAUCAACUUUUUGGUUUUUGCCUUCGCGUACAAAUUUCUAUCUGAUAUCUCCC